GAUUGGAAGUAAAAGUCGUAACAAGGUUUCCGUAGGUGAACCUGCGGAAGGAUCAUUAUCGUACAAAAUGUGUGAGGCAUGCGAGGGAUGUCGCUGGCUUUUAACACAAAAGUCGUGCACGCCAGAGUGUGUCCUCUCACAUAAAAUCCAUCUCACCCUUUUGUGCACCACCGCGUGGGCACCCCUCGGGAUCAAACAGAUCCAGGAGGGGGGCUUGCGUUUUCACACAAACCCCUUUUUAAAAGUGUAGAAUGACCCCAUUUUUGCGAUAACACGCAAUCAAUACAACUUUCAACAACGGAUCUCUUGGCUCUCGCAUCGAUGAAGAACGCAGCGAAAUGCGAUACGUAAUGUGAAUUGCAGAAUUCAGUGAAUCAUCGAAUCUUUGAACGCACCUUGCGCCCCUUGGUAUUCCGAGGGGCACACCCGUUUGAGUGUCGUGAAAAUCUCAACCUUCUCGGUUUCUUCUGGACACCGAAGGAGGCUUGGACUUUGGAGGCCUUUGCUGGCGUCUCUCGCCAGCUCCUCUCAAAUGAAUUAGUGGGGUCCUCUUUGCCGAUCCUCGACAUGUGAUAAGAUGUUUCCAUGUCUUGGUUUAUGGCUCUGUUGCUUUUGGGACCCGCUUCUAACCGUCUCAACGAGACAACGUUCGAGCGUGUCGAACACUCUUGAACCCACGAACCCUUGACCUCAAAUCGGGUGAGACUACCCGCUGAACUUAAGCAUAUCAAUAAGCGGAGGAAAUCG
rnacentral:rRNA from 1 species